CUGGCUCAGGAUGAACGCUGACAGAAUGCUUAACACAUGCAAGUCUACUUGAUCCUUCGGGUGAAGGUGGCGGACGGGUGAGUAACGCGUAAAGAACUUGCCUUACAGACUGGGACAACAUUUGGAAACGAAUGCUAAUACCGGAUAUUAUGAUUGGGUCGCAUGAUCUGGUUAUGAAAGCUAUAUGCGCUGUGAGAGAGCUUUGCGUCCCAUUAGUUAGUUGGUGAGGUAACGGCUCACCAAGACGAUGAUGGGUAGCCGGCCUGAGAGGGUGAACGGCCACAAGGGGACUGAGACACGGCCCUUACUCCUACGGGAGGCAGCAGUGGGGAAUAUUGGACAAUGGACCAAAAGUCUGAUCCAGCCAAUUCUGUGUGCACGAUGAAGUUUUUCGGAAUGUAAAGUGCUUUCAGUUGGGAAGAAGUCAGUGACGGUACCAACAGAAGAAGCGACGGCUAAAUACGUGCCAGCCGCCGC
rnacentral:rRNA from 1 species